rnacentral:miRNA from 1 species
UCUCUGUCGGCAUGUCGAUGACU